rnacentral:rRNA from 1 species
UACGGGGGGGGCAAGCGUUGUUCGGAAUUACUGGGCGUAAAGGGCUCGUAGGCGGCCAACUAAGUCAGACGUGAAAUCCCUCGGCUUAACCGGGGAACUGCGUCUGAUACUGGAUGGCUAGAGUCCGGAAGAGGCGAGUGGAAUUCCCGGUGUAGCGGUGAAAUGCGCAGAUAUCGGGAGGAACACCAGUGGCGAAGGCGGCUUCCUGGCCUGUUCUUGACGCUGAGGCGCGAAAGCUAGGGGAGCAAACGGG